UUUCCGUAGGUGAACCUGCGGAAGGAUCAUUCAUAGUAAGUGUUUUAUGGCACUUUUUUAAAUCCAUAUCCACCUUGUGUGCAAUGUCAGGGUUGACUUUUCUCUCGAGAGGAUCAACCCCAAACAUCAACUAUAUCUCAACUCUUUGUCUGAAAAAUAUUAUGAAUAAAACAAUUCAAAAUACAACUUUCAACAACGGAUCUCUUGGCUCUC
rnacentral:misc_RNA from 1 species